ACGUAGGGUGCAAGCGUUAAUCGGAAUUACUGGGCGUAAAGCGUGCGCAGGCGGUUUUGUAAGUCAGAUGUGAAAUCCCCGGGCUUAACCUGGGAACUGCGUUUGAAACUACAAGGCUAGAGUGUGGCAGAGGGGGGUGGAAUUCCACGUGUAGCAGUGAAAUGCGUAGAGAUGUGGAGGAACACCGAUGGCGAAGGCAGCCCCCUGGGUUAACACUGACGCUCAGGCACGAAAGCGUGGGGAGCAAACAG
rnacentral:rRNA from 1 species